rnacentral:rRNA from 1 species
UACGUAGGGGGCAAGCGUUGUCCGGAAUCAUUGGGCGUAAAGAGCGUGUAGGCGGCCCGAUAAGUCCGCCGUGAAAGCCCAGGGCUCAACCCUGGGAUGCCGGUGGAUACUGUCGGGCUAGAAUCCGGAAGAGGCGAGUGGAAUUCCUGGUGUAGCGGUGAAAUGCGCAGAUAUCAGGAGGAACACCGAUGGCGAAGGCAGCUCGCUGGGACGGUAUUGACGCUGAGACGCGAAAGCGUGAGGAGCAAACAGG